CCGUGGGGCGGGUCCUGGCUGCCCAGGUGUGGCCCGGGUCCCCCGGGGUGAGGGCAUCACGGCCCCCUGCGGUGCCUGGUUGGAGCCAGAAGCUGCAACAGACGCCAACAGCCGCAGAGACGUGAAUAGGGACUGGAGUAAAAGAUGUGUAGGGCAACGUGGAAGAGGAGCAGUGAGGAGAUUCUGCUAUGCCUCCCAUAGAAUGCCUUUUAACCUCAAAGCUGCCAAGAUAAAUAUCUAUGGAGUCUCACUCUCUUGUCCAG